rnacentral:piRNA from 1 species
CUGGGCUAAUGGGCCAUGAAUGGUGG